AUUUGGAACCCAAAUAAAUUUCCAAACUUGUCCAUGAAGUGUUGCGGAUUAGAAAUGGUCAUAUGGACCGGAUUACACUCCAUAGACUUACAAUAUGGUGUGGUAGGCAACCUUUGGAUAAUCAUAUCUUGGUCUAAUGUUUUACCCCAGGUUGCCCACCCCACACAAGACCAAUAUGGACAGAAAUUAAAAUCACUAUUUGGUCAAUCAGGAUCAGUAGAUCUUUUACUGGGACAUAAAUAUUUGUCAUUGAACCCAUAAGUUUGUUCCCACUUUAGAUUACCACAUACAUUCCAAGUUUUUCCACUACCCAAGAUCGCCUUACAUACAUCAAAUAGUAGAAUACCCGUAAAAUGUAUGGUAUUUAUCACCGUCCUAUUUAUCAAGGUCCCCUGAGAGUUGCUAUUCCGAAUUACCAACCAAAUUGUAUGGGGUUGGAAUUGGGGAUCAAAACAUUUAGGCUCUUCUACUGCUGGGUGACACACUGUAAUCAAUAUCUAAAUAUCUACAUUUAGAUACAGAUCCCUUACAUUCAUACUGUGAGUGCCAAAUAAGAGUUUG